rnacentral:lncRNA from 1 species
UUUUGAUUGAUUCCGAUAAUGGAGAAAGUUUGUUAGAAUUAUUUUUCUUGAGCAUGUAAAUGAAUUAGAAGAAUAGGGAUUCUAAGCUUCCUUUUAGUCAAUGGACUUAGCAGUUGGAUCUUUACUUUUGUUUUGUCCCAACAUCUGCUUUUAUGUAUUUGGUUUCCGAGGAACAGUUGGAUUACCAGAAGAUCUUCUAAAUCUUUAUCUCAAAUUCUGGAUGAUAUUAGAUUUUUUGGAAAAGAAUGGAGGAAUGGAGUUCAGUGUCUAGUGCUAAAUACCUGUCUGCUCUUGAUCAAUUUACAGGACCAUGCUUUCCUUAGACAGUAAUUUAGAAGGCAAUAUUUUUAUUAGACAAUUUUUGGUACUUACAUUACCAUCAAAAAAAUAUUUGGUGCUUAUAGUUGCAUUCGUUUCCUAUCUCAUGAAAUAU